CAGCCGCCGCGGUAAUACGUAGGGUGCAAGCGUUAAUCGGAAUUACUGGGCGUAAAGCGUGCGCAGGCGGUUUGUUAAGACAUAUGUGAAAUCCCCGGGCUCAACCUGGGAACUGCAUUUGUGACUGGCAAGCUAGAGUCUGGCAGAGGGGGGUGGAAUUCCGCGUGUAGCAGUGAAAUGCGUAGAUAUGCGGAGGAACACCGAUGGCGAAGGCAGCCCCCUGGGCCAACACUGACGCUCAUGCACGAAAGCGUGGGGAGCAAACAGGAUUAGAUACCCCAGUAGUCCCUGUCUCUUAUAA
rnacentral:rRNA from 1 species